rnacentral:rRNA from 1 species
AUUGAACGCUGGCGGCAUGCCUUACACAUGCAAGUCGAACGGUAACGCGGGGCAACCUGGCGACGAGUGGCGAACGGGUGAGUAAUACAUCGGAACGUGCCCAGUAGUGGGGGAUAGCCCGGCGAAAGCCGGAUUAAUACCGCAUACGACCUACGGGUGAAAGCGGGGGAUCGCAAGACCUCGCGCGAUUGGAGCGGCCGAUAUCAGAUUAGGUAGUUGGUGAGAUAAAGGCUCACCAAGCCGACGAUCUGUAGCUGGUCUGAGAGGACGACCAGCCACACUGGGACUGAGACACGGCCCAGACUCCUACGGGAGGCAGCAGUGGGGAAUUUUGGACAAUGGACGCAAGUCUGAUCCAGCCAUUCCGCGUGCAGGACGAAGGCCUUCGGGUUGUAGGCUGCUUUUGUACAGAACGAAAAGGUCUCUAUUAAUACUAGGGGCUCAUGACGGUACUGUAAGAAUAAGCCCCGGCUAACUUCGUGCCAGCAGCCGCGGUAA